UAACACAGGUAUUUACCUGAAUGCGAAACAUUUGGAUAUUGUGUCACUGAUUUAAACUAAAAGCCCAGCAUGCAUCACUGGCUGUUAUUGCUGUUUGUCAAAAAUUUCCAAUUCCUGGGGAAAAAAAUAUUUCCGGGUCAUGGGACUACGUUUCAUAAAUUCCAGCGUGAUGGAAUUACACAGGGUGUUGUUUCCUAUAAUAACAGAAGUUAGGUCUACGGACUAAUCUAUAGUACAAUCUGUAAGACAUGCGCAGCUACAUCUGGUAUCCGGAUCCGGUAUCUGGUCGUAUUGGCCACGCCUCCUUGAAACUGUCUGACAACAAAAACUCUGGGAAGAUAGGUAACAAACUUGGCGCAGGCAUAAGUACCGGGUAUGGCCAAGACACUCUGGCUGAUGACGUAAGGUUGGAAGGAGGACCACCUACCAAGGUCAUUGAUCUAGACGGCCUUCACCUGGACGAGCAAGCGAUCGAGGACUGGUGGUUCAACUGGAUCAACGGCGGGACUUACACGCUUCUGGACGUCAACUGCUGCAAAGUCGUUUACUACGCUUUACGAGCAGGGGGAGCGGCUUUUAGUAUAAAUCCCGUGUAGUCCCCGGGCAUUCUCUACCGUUAUCUGGUAAGGAUAACAGGGGGCUGGCUAUGCCUGGCUGCGUCAUUCUUCAGCUCGUCACUUGUCUGAACGUUUAUUUUUCGAAAAACGCAACAACAGAAAGUUAGUUGUUCUGGAAUUUAACAUUUGUCUGAACUUUAUUUGUCAAAAAAACAAAAAAAACAGAUAGCUGGUUCUUUUGGAACUCAAUACUUAUUUGAGUAUUUGAACUUUAUUUGUCGAAAAACGAAAUAACAGAAAGCUGAUUGUUUUGGAACUUAACACUUGUCUGAACUUUAUUUGUCAAAAAAAAAAAAAAAAAAAGCCCCGGAAGAACAGAUAGCCGAUUGUUUUGGAACUCAAUACUGAAUAGAACAGAACAGAACUGUGACACAUGUCCAAGUGAUUUAAAUGUGUCAAUCUGAGUUAAUUAUGCAAAGAAUGUAUGUGCUAACGAUUAAUUUGUAGUUAUUUGUUACCAGUAAAUUAUAAUAUAAAAGUAGCGAAAUAUAAACUUGCAACUUUGAGGUUGUAUCUUUGAGAUCUACUUGAUAUAAUUUGGAAGAAUUUAUACACUAGAAAAGUUCCAAAGUAAUACAGCAUUGGUUUUAUCAGUGAAAUGUGACAUUUGUAACUAUUACCUUUACACUUUGAAAAAAAAAAAUAUAUAUAUAUAUAU